UACGUAGGGGGCUAGCGUUGUCCGGAAUCAUUGGGCGUAAAGAGCGCGUAGGCGGCCAGAUAAGUCCGGUGUGAAAGUCACAGGCUCAACCUGUGAAUGCCGCUGGAAACUGUCUGGCUAGAGUCCGGAAGGGGCGAGUGGAAUUCCUGGUGUAGCGGUGAAAUGCGUAGAUAUCGUGAGGAAGACCAGUGGCGAAGGCGAUUCUCUGGGGCAGUUCCUGACACUGAGGCACGAAGGCUAGGGGAGCAAACGGG
rnacentral:rRNA from 1 species